rnacentral:rRNA from 1 species
UACAGAGGGUGCGAGCGUUGUCCGGAAUCACUGGGCGUAAAGGGCGCGUAGGCGGCUCAGUAAGGUUGCGGUGAAAGCCCGGGGCUCAACCCCGGGUCGGCCGUGGCAACUGCUGGGCUGGAGCACUGUAGAGGCAGGUGGAAUUCCGGGUGUAGCGGUGGAAUGCGUAGAGAUCCGGAAGAACACCCGUGGCGAAGGCGGCUCUCUGGGACGGUACUGACGCUGAGACGCGAAAGCGUGGGGAGCGAACAGG